rnacentral:lncRNA from 7 species
AUUUAAGGGCUGACUCUCAAGGAGGAAGGAUCUCUGUCUGGAGAUCACCCCUCUUGGAAUUCUUCUAUGGGACCUAACUGAACGUAUAAUUGAAACAGUGAGACCACCUGGAUACACAACGUUGUCAACUAUAAAAAGGCAUACACAUACAACAUAUGGUUGCUGGUAUAAGCAGGCCAAGCAACUUUUACAGGCACUUCUUGAGUAGCAAGAAAAAAAAGAUUUUAAAGCUGUAGAUGGGAGUACAAUAAAGGACUGUACUUGCUGAAUGUAAGCUGCGUGUCAACUACAUCUGAAAGCAAGAGUGAAGAGCUGGCAGAUGUAGGUUCCUGAUGAAGUGAUAACCACAACAGACUUCAGAAGGAUUAAGGGAUGAUGUGGAAAAUGAAGCCUAAGCUGUGUUUCUGUACAUUGUGUUAUGUGAAACAGCCACAGAGAGAUAAGAACCAAGUAGUGGGAAAAUAUACCACUUGUAAUGAAAGCUUGAGGCUUCAUCAAAACUCUGCUUCUAGGGUGAAUGACUCAGAUUCUCAGUUACAUAGAUUUGGGAGGUUAAUCCUUUUCAAAUAGUUCUUCCACUUACAUUUAUUUACAGAGUGUGAUCACCACAUACUGAAAAAGAUACUCAAAUCCUCUUCAAAUUAGGCAAUUUAUGUGCCUAUACCUCUGGGAUUUGUGGGACCAUUACUUUUAUCUUUAUUAACUCCUUAGCGUUAAUGUAGCUCAUGACUGACAAAAGAUUAAUAAGUGUAUGGGAAGAUGAUUUAUCUGUGAUGGAGAACAGACAUAAGCAACCUGUCCUGACGCCUAUCUUUUAAGCAACCUGUGCAGUUACUGUAGGAAUUUGACACAAAUUAGUUACGUGCAUCAACUGUGUUAGAAGCACAAAACUUGUAAUGUAUUAAUUUUCUUAAAAUGAUGGAUGUCUAGCACUUUUACAGAAGGUGUCCCAUACUUUGCAGGAGUGCAUGGUAAAUAAGGAUCUUUGCUUUUGUUCUCAACAGAAAUUGACAGUACAAUUUUGCAUUUUAAAGCACCGUUCCUAAGUGGUAAAACCAAACACACCACUCAAAGAGAGAAACUAUUUUCCCAGUGCAUACAUUAGAUUUCAGCUCUGGAAAGAUCAGUCACAUUUCAGAAUACCAGACUAACUUUAGUGCAUACCAUGCUAUUCUUUUGGCUCAGUGAAGAAUUUAAGAGAUACUCUAGUCAUCUUAAUGAGACUCAGUUCAGUGAUGUAAAACAUUUGCUGAAAGAUACAUCAAUUCCAGUACACUUCAGUAGAAACAAAACUAGAUACAGGCUGCAGACUUUGCCCAAAGAAAGCAUCAUGUCAGAAACCUACCAUGGAAGAAUAGUUUUACGUAGUCAUAUUAAGUGUUUUAUACUAUCAUUUUAUACUCUCUUUAUACAGAAUUUUGAUAAAGAGUGUCAUACCUGGGGAAUAUUAUUCAGGCCAAGUUCAGACAUACAAAGCCUUUCAGCUCUUCUCUCAUUAGACUCGUAUUUGUUCACCAUAUGCCUGACUAAAUAUACACCUAUCAGAUGUAAGUCUGCAUUAACCUUUUAUUCACUCACUCUACUACUUUCUGAAGGUCAUAUCUGAUGCUAUAUUAUUUUUUUCAUAUUAAAAAUCUGCAAUGAU